ACGCUCGCUGGCGGCGUGCUUAACACAUGCAAGUCGAACGGAAAGGCCCUGCUUUUGUGGGGUGCUCGAGUGGCGAACGGGUGAGUAACACGUGAGUAACCUGCCCUUGACUUUGGGAUAACUUCAGGAAACUGGGGCUAAUACCGGAUAGGAGCUCCUGCUGCAUGGUGGGGGUUGGAAAGUUUCGGCGGUUGGGGAUGGACUCGCGGCUUAUCAGCUUGUUGGUGGGGUAGUGGCUUACCAAGGCUUUGACGGGUAGCCGGCCUGAGAGGGUGACCGGCCACAUUGGGACUGAGAUACGGCCCAGACUCCUACGGGAGGCAGCAGUGGGGAAUAUUGCACAAUGGGCGGAAGCCUGAUGCAGCAACGCCGCGUGCGGGAUGACGGCCUUCGGGUUGUAAACCGCUUUCGCCUGUGACGAAGCGUGAGUGACGGUAAUGGGUAAAGAAGCACCGGCUAACUACGUG
rnacentral:rRNA from 1 species